CCUAGGGGAGGCAGCAGUGGGGAAUAUUGCACAAUGGGGGAACCCCUGAUGCAGCGACGUCGCGUGAGUGAAGAAGUAUUUCGGUAUGUAAAGCUCUAUCAGCAGGGAAGAAACUGACGGUACCUGACUCAGAAGCCACGGUUAACUACGUGCAAGCAGCCGCGGUAAUAAGUAGGGGGCAAGCGUUAUUCGGAUUUACUGGGUGUAAAGGGGGAGUAGACGGCAGCGCAAGUCUGAAGUGAAAUCCCAUGGCUUAACCAUGGAACUGCUUUGGAAACUGUGCAUCUGGAGUGCAGGAGAGGUAAGCGGAAUGCCUAGUGUAGCGGUGAAAUGCGUAGAUAUUAGGAGGAACACCAGUGGCGAAGGCGGCUUACUGGACUGUAACUGACGUUGAGGCUCGAAAGCGUGGGUAGCGAACAGGAUUAGAUACCCCUGUAGUC
rnacentral:rRNA from 1 species